rnacentral:lncRNA from 1 species
GCGCUAUGGGGUCGGCUAUGGGGCUGUGUCCCUGUGGGGCACUAUGGGGUUCCCUAUGGGUCUCUAUGGGGCACUAUGGGGUUCCCUAUGCGGCAAUAUUGGGUUCCCUGUGGGGUUCUAUGGGGUUUCCUAUGGGUCUCUAUGGGGUCGGCUAUGGGGUUCCCUAUGGGGCACUAUGGGGUCGGCUAUGGGGCAGUAUCCCUAUGGGUCACUAUGGGGCACUAUGGUGUUCCCCAUGGGUCUCUAUGGGGUCGGCUAUGGGGCAGUGUCCCUAUGGGUCCCUAUGGGUCACUAUGGGGUUCCCUAUGGGUCUCUAUGGGGUCAGCUAUGGGGUCGGCUGUGGGGUGGUGCUGCUAUGGGGCACUAUGGGGUUCCCAUGGAGCAGUGUCCCUAUGGGGCACUAUGGGCUUUCCUUAGGGGUCUCUACGGGGUCGGCUAUGGGGUUCCCUAUGGGUCUCUCUCUAUGGGGUCAACUACGGGUUCCCUAUGGGGUCUCUAUGGGGUCGGCUACAGUUUCCCUAUGGGUCUCUAUGGGGUCGGCUAUGGGGCAGCGUCCCCAUUGGGCACUAUAGGGUUCCCUAUGGGUCUCUAUGGGUCUCUAUGGGGUCAGCUAUUGGGUCGGCUAUGUGGCAGUGUCUGUGGGUCUCUGUGGGGUUUUCUAUGGGGUUUUCUAUGGGGUGCUGUGUGUUCCCCUAUAGCUGGACUGCCCGCUGGCCAUGGAGCGCAUCAGGGAGGGGGGUUCCCUAUGGGGGUCCCUAUGGGUCUCUAUGGGGUCGGCUGUGGGGCAGUGUCCCUC